rnacentral:rRNA from 1 species
GCUUACGGCCAUACCACCCUGAGCACGCCCGAUCUCGUCUGAUCUCGGAAGCUAAGCAGGUCGGGCCUGGUUAGUACUUGGAUGGGAGACCGCCUGGGAAUACCAGGUGCUGUAAGCU